CUUUCUUUGCUGGCGACCGGCGCACGGGUGAGUAACACGUAUCCAACCUGCCCUUUACUCGGGGAUAGCCUUUCGAAAGAAAGAUUAAUACCCGAUAGUAUAAUGAUUCCGCAUGGUUUCAUUAUUAAAGGAUUCCGGUAAAGGAUGGGGAUGUGUUCCAUUAGGUUGUUGGUGAGGUAACGGCUCACCAAGCCUUCGAUGGAUAGGGGUUCUGAGAGGAAGGUCCCCCACAUUGGAACUGAGACACGGUCCAA
rnacentral:rRNA from 1 species